rnacentral:rRNA from 1 species
AUAUCCUACGGGGGGCAGCAGUAGGGAAUCUUCCACAAUGGGCGAAAGCCUGAUGGAGCAACGCCGCGUGGGUGAAGAAGGUCUUCGGAUCGUAAAACCCUGUUGUUAGAGAAGAAAGUGCGUGAGAGUAACUGUUCACGUUUCGACGGUAUCUAACCAGAAAGCCACGGCUAACUACGUGCCAGCAGCCGCGGUAAUACGUAUGGAGCAAGCGUUAUCCGGAUUUACUGGGCGUAAAGGGAGCGUAGGCGGCCUGCCAAGUCUGAUGUGAAAUACCGGGGCUCAACCCCGGGGCUGCAUUGGAA